rnacentral:rRNA from 1 species
GUACACUCCUGCGGGAGGCAGCAGUGGGGAAUUUUGGACAAUGGGCGAAAGCCUGAUCCAGCCAUGCCGCGUGCAGGAUGAAGGCCUUCGGGUUGUAAACUGCUUUUGUACGGAACGAAACGGCCUUUUCUAAUAAAGAGGGCUAAUGACGGUACCGUAAGAAUAAGCACCGGCUAACUACGUGCCAGCAGCCGCGGUAAUACGUAGGGUGCAAGCGUUAAUCGGAAUUACUGGGCGUAAAGCGUGCGCAGGCGGUUAUGUAAGACAGUUGUGAAAUCCCCGGGCUCAACCUGGGAACUGCAUCUGUGACUGCAUAGCUAGAGUACGGUAGAGGGGGAUGGAAUUCCGCGUGUAGCAGUGAAAUGCGUAGAUAUGCGGAGGAACACCGAUGGCGAAGGCAAUCCCCUGGACCUGUACUGACGCUCAUGCACGAAAGCGUGGGGAGCAAACAGGAUUAGAUACCCCUGUAGUCCC